ensembl:snRNA U6 U6 spliceosomal RNA
GUGCUCACUUCGGCAGCACAUAGACUAAAACUGGAACAAUACAGAGAAGAUUAGCAUGGCCCUGUGCAAGGAUGACACACAAAUUCACGAAGUGUUCCAUAUUUUU